rnacentral:misc_RNA from 1 species
GAUGAAGAACGUAGCGAAAUGCGAUACUUGGUGUGAAUUGCAGAAUCCCGUGAACCAUCGAGUCUUUGAACGCAAGUUGCGCCCGAAGCCAUUAGGCCGAGGGCACGCCUGCCUGGGCUUCACACGUCGUUGCCCCCCCAUCUACUCCUUCGGGAUUGCGGGGGGCGGAUGAUGGCCUCCCGUGCGCCUCGUCGCGCGGUUGGCAUAAAUGCCAAGUCCUCGGCGACGCACGCCACGACAAUCGGUGGUUGCGAAACCUCGGUUGCCCGUCGUGUGCGGUCGUCGCGCAUCGAGGGCUCGAAAAAAUUGCCGGGCUCCGGCUCGGCUUUCAACGCGACCCCAGGUCAGGCGGGGUUACCCGCUGAAUUUAAGCAUAUCAAUAAGCGGAGGA